rnacentral:rRNA from 1 species
AGUGAACGCUGGCGGUAGGCCUAACACAUGCAAGUCGAACGGCAGCACAGUAAGGGCUUGCUCUUACGGGUGGCGAGUGGCGGACGGGUGAGGAAUACAUCGGAAUCUACUUUUUCGUGGGGGAUAACGUAGGGAAACUUACGCUAAUACCGCAUACGACCUACGGGUGAAAGCAGGGGAUCUUCGGACCUUGCGCGAUUGAAUGAGCCGAUGUCGGAUUAGCUAGUUGGCGGGGUAAAGGCCCACCAAGACGACGAUCCGUAGCUGGUCUGAGAGGAUGAUCAGCCACACUGGAACUGAGACACGGUCCAGACUCCUACGGGAGGCAGCAGUGGGGAAUAUUGGACAAUGGGCGCAAGCCUGAUCCAGCCAUACCGCGUGGGUGAAGAAGGCCUUCGGGUUGUAAAGCCCUUUUGUUGGGAAAGAAAAGCAGCAGGUUAAUACCCCGCUGUUCUGACGGUACCCAAAGAAUAAGCACCGGCUAACUUCGUG